rnacentral:rRNA from 1 species
AAGCUCGUAGUUGAAUUUCGGGAUUAGUACGUCGGUCGUGCCUUAGGUACGUACUGGUGUUACUGGUUCCUACCUUCUGACGAACCAUCAUGUCAUUAAUUUGGUGUGGUGGGGAAUCAGAACUGUUACUUUGAAAAAAUUAGAGUGUUUAAAGCAGGCUCGCGCUUGAAUACAUUAGCAUGGAAUAAUGAAAUAGGACGUUGAUCCUAUUUUGUUGGUUUCUAGGAUUGACGUAAUGAUUAAUAGGGAUAGUUGGG